ensembl:snoRNA
AUCCUUUUGUAGUUCAUGAGCACGAUAAUCGGGUGUUCACGCACUUGUGUGAGAUGUGCCACCCUUGAAUUUUGUUAUGAUGUUGCCACAUUAGCCCAUCUGACA